rnacentral:rRNA from 1 species
GAUGAACGCUGGCGGCGUGCCUAAUACAUGCAAGUCGAGCGAACAGACGAGAAGCUUGCUUCUCUGAUGUUAGCGGCGGACGGGUGAGUAACACGUGGAUAACCUACCUAUAAGACUGGGAUAACUUCGGGAAACCGGAGCUAAUACCGGAUGAUAUUUUGAACCGCAUGGUUCAAAAGUGAAAGACGGUCUUGCUGUCACUUAUAGAUGGAUCCGCGCUGCAUUAGCUAGUUGGUAAGGUAACGGCUUACCAAGGCAACGAUGCAUAGCCGACCUGAGAGGGUGAUCGGCCACACUGGAACUGAGACACGGUCCAGACUCCUACGGGAGGCAGCAGUAGGGAAUCUUCCGCAAAGGGCGAAAGCCUGACGGAGCAACGCCGCGUGAGUGAUGAAGGUCUUCGGAUCGUAAAACUCUGUUAUUAGGGAAGAACAUAUGUGUAAGUAACUGUGCACAUCUUGACGGUACCUAAUCAGAAAGCCACGGCUAACUACGUG